AGGGUAUUAAAGUUAGUAACUAAUUUUGUUAUGUUAGUCAUGCUGAAUUGUGUUGUUGUGUUUCUGCUACAGAUUGCAACUGUCCAUGUUAGCUAGGAUUAUUUCAAUGCCUUAACCUGUUUGCUGCAGAAUUGAGUCGGAGAGGGUGCAUUGAACGGUUGCUGCAACUUGAUGUCGAUAUGUGUUGGGUCUGUUAUGGCAUUGUGUUUCAUGCAAAUGGUUAGCUUGUCUGGCUGCAGGUACAUGUUAGUAGGGUUGAUGCUAGUGUGAAGUUGCUGCCAUGAAUUGAACAUGUGAUGUCAUGUUGUGGUUGCUCGAUGACAGUAUCCUGUCACUUGUAAAAAU
rnacentral:lncRNA from 1 species